rnacentral:lncRNA from 1 species
AAUAGUCGAGCAGACAUUUUGGCUAGGAUGGCAGCAGUAGCCGACCCAAAAAUGCCAAAGUCGGUCCCUCUAGAAAUGAAGUCCACCCCAAGUAUCGAGCAGAAUUUGGGGGUGUUGCGGAUAGAACAAAAAUGCUCGUGGAGGGACCCGAUAGUUUCAUACCUUAGAGACGGGGUAUUACCACCACAUAAGCUGCGAGCUCGGAAGAUUAGAGCUCAGGCCUCGAGAUACACGAUGAUCGAUGGGGUACUGUAUCGGCGAGGAUACACAUUACCGUUCCUUCGGUGUUUGGAUGACGACGACGCGGAUUACGUGCUGAGAGAAGUACAUGAAGG